rnacentral:misc_RNA from 1 species
GAUGAAGAACGUAGCGAAAUGCGAUAAGUAAUGUGAAUUGCAGAAUUCAGUGAAUCAUCGAAUCUUUGAACGCACCUUGCGCCUUUUGGUAUUCCGAAAGGCACACCUGUUUGAGCGUCAUGAAUACCUCAAUCUCCAUCUUUUCUUCGGAUUGAUGGGUGACUUGGAUGUUGAGCCCUGCUGGUAUGCUAUAUCAGCUGGCUUUAAACUUAUUAGCCGGAUCUGUACUGGAUCGGUUUGACUCGACGUGAUAAUAUUAUCGUUGAGGAUGCAUGUCUCAUGCAGCCGGAAAGUAUCAAAGCAGCUUCUAGCUUGCCUUUAGUGCACUUUUACAUUUUAGACCUCGGAUCAGGUGGGACUACCCGCUGAACUUAAGCAUAUCAAUAAGCGGAGGA